rnacentral:rRNA from 27 species
GGUCUGAGAGGAUGAUCCGCCACACUGGGACUGAGACACGGCCCAGACUCCUACGGGAGGCAGCAGUGGGGAAUUUUGGACAAUGGGCGUAAGCCUGAUCCAGCCAUGCCGCGUGUCUGAAGAAGGCCUUCGGGUUGUAAAGGACUUUUGUCCGGGAGCAAAUCCCAGUGGUUAAUACCUACUGGGGCUGAGAGUACCGGAAGAAUAAGCACCGGCUAACUACGUGCCAGCAGCCGCGGUAAUACGUAGGGUGCAAGCGUUAAUCGGAAUUACUGGGCGUAAAGCGUGCGCAGGCGGUUGUGCAAGUCUGAUGUGAAAGCCCCGGGCUUAACCUGGGAACGGCAUUGGAGACUG